rnacentral:rRNA from 1 species
AUGGACCUUGGGCGCCUUCACUAUGGGGUCAUUACUCUCAUUCCCAAGGUCCCGGGGGCCUCGGACAUUCGCCAGUUCUGACCGAUCACAGUGAUCAACGUGAUCUUCAGGAUCCUGGCUAAAGGGUACGCCAAUAGGAUGACCCUUCUAGCGGAAUCUGUCACCCACCCCAACCAAUCGGCCUUCAUCCAAGGCCGGUUUAUUUUGGAUGGGGUGUUGGUCUUCCACGAAGUCCUUCGUGAAGUCCGAACCAAGCACCACCGUGUGGUCUUCCUGAAGCUCGACUUUCAUAAAGCCUAUGACAUUGUCCAUUGGCCCUUCCUUCGGGAAGUUUUGCUCCGCAAGGGCUUCGACGACCGAUGGGUGACCUGA